UGCGCAUUUUUUCUUGACAUAAAAAGGACACAUUUUUGCAUGUUUUCGAUGCAAUUAAGGUUAUGGAUGGGUAAAUAGUGCUGAUUAUGUGCUUUUAGGAGUUUAUGCUGCUUAAAAUAUCAUAAACCUGGGAAAUAGAAAUAGAAAUUGUGAUGCAUUUUUUUCGAACGGCAUUUUCUCAGUAUUUACGUUUUGGCUGUAGGCCCUUUUCAAAUGUUACGCGAGAAUUGGAUUUGUUUGUUUAUUAUUGCUGAAGCGGUUCGCGUCGUCCGCGUCAGUUCAUUGAAAUAGUGCGAGAAAACGGUAAACAAGUGAAAAAUAGUCACAAUCUGCCAAAAGCAGAAGCAGAGUAACUUGCUCAUGGCGUCCCGGUAAUAGAUCCCAGUAAACUGGUUACAAAACGGUGCGAAAUUUGUCCCAAAUUGCGAUUGCCUGACAGUUUCCGUGGUUCAGCGGACCGGACGAAAGUCUGCUCAAAAGCAUCAUGGAUUGGAAUGUUCUGCUGAAGGGUAUUUGCAUGCAAAGAUCCUGCUCUAUCUAACGCAUCUUAAUCGUUUGGUGCAGUAGUCGGCUCUGCAGGCCUGGGAUUUCUGGACAAAUACGAAAUUUCGCAGGAUCCGGAACAUCUGGCAGACAUUCAAGUUCCCCCGCUUCUAUGGUAUUUUCGACGAGAGCAGAAGUUAUUUCCAACAUUAUCAAAUAACUGGGAGGUAUUCAAUCAUCGUGUGAGUGGCAUAUGUGACGCAUUUUCAAUCCUGGAUCACAAAGUAAUAGUGCGUGUACUCCCGUCAACCGGCUAUAGGCUAGAGAAGAAAAAAGAGUCGUUGGAGAAUGUGAUCAAUCAGAAGAGAAGAUUUUUAGGAAAUGUUUAAUGCACAAAAUUAUGAAAUUUGAGCCGUCACACGACUUGAUGUCCAAACACAACAAUAAAAUGAUCAUCUCAUGAAUCCAGGCAUAGGUCCUCUUAGGGGUUAAUGAAAAACUAGAAUAAUCAUAGUUUAAAAUAAAAGAGAAUAAAAUGAGGAUGAAA